AGGGCACGUCUGCCUGGGCGUCAAGCAUCGCUUCGCCACCCCAGACACCCUAACCCGGUGGAUCGAGGGGGCGUAAUGUGGCCCCCCGUGUACAUAGAUUCACGGUCGGCUUAAAUUCGGGACUUGCGGCAGCGAGCGCCGCAGCAAUUGCCGGUUUUUAACGGCC
rnacentral:rRNA from 1 species